GUGAUCGAUUCCCAGUGCCAUCCUGAACCACAAGAUUGGAAUAUCGCACCUUUCAACUGCCUGGGCUGAUAAACAAUACAGCAUGUACUCAGCUUCAUAAACACUCUGCCUUGUUACAAAGGGCUUUGCAAACUCGCCGUGAUAGGACUUGACCUUAAAAGCUAUAGACAAUCUAGCGGAGCACAGACGGUUUCAUAAAGUACAAUCACUUCCUGGAAUUCUUGGGCCAGUGCAGUCGGAGCCGUGCAAAUCCUGUUUUCCUUGCAUUGUUUCCUGCAUGUGAAUAUCAUCAGUCUAGCAGUCUCUCUCUGUCACCAGGCUGGAGUACAGUGGGGCAAUCUCGGCUCACUGCAACCUCUGCCUCCCGGGUUCAAGCGAUUCUCCUGCCUCAGCCUCCUGAGUAGCUGGGACUAUAGGUGCACGCCACCAUAAGCAGUUAUUUUUUGUCUUUUUAGUAGAGACGAGGUUUCACCAUGUUGGCCAGGCUGGUCUCGAUCUGUUGACCUCGUGAUCUGCUGGCCUCAGCCUUCCAAAGUGCUGGGAUUAUAGCCGUGAGCCACCGUGCCAGGCCCAUCUAACUUUCAAUAUAGAUUGUAUGAUGUUUUCAUAAAACAAGCAGGGCUCAGAAAGGCCGUAUAAAGCCACACAGCCAGCAAGCAGCAGAGUCUGCAUUUUAAUCCAUAUGUUCAUGGCUUCAAAGCAAUGUUAUUUAACUCUAACAAUGCAAUCGAACUAACAACUGACAUCAGACACAAAUAUUCUGAAGAACCUGGAGAAAUAGAAAAGAAUUGGAUAGAACUGAUGGCUCUUGGGCAGAAGCUGUGCAUCAGGAAGAGGAAAUAAAUGGCAUUGUUCAGCCAUGAAGCCAUAUAAUUUCAACCUGACUUUCCUUCU
rnacentral:lncRNA from 1 species